rnacentral:rRNA from 1 species
GCGUACCUUUUGUAUAAUGGGUCAGCGACUUAUAUUCUGUAGCAAGGUUAACCGAAUAGGGGAGCCGGAGGGAAACCGAGUCUUAAUUGGGCGUUAAGUUGCAGGGUAUAGACCCGAAACCCGGUGAUCUAGCCAUGGGCAGGUUGAAGGUUGGGUAACACUAACUGGAGGACCGAACCGACUAAUGUUGAAAAAUUAGCGGAUGACCUGUGGCUGGGGGUGAAAGGCCAAUCAAACCGGGAGAUAGCUGGUUCUCCCCGAAAGCUAUUUAGGUAGCGCCUCGUGAAUUCAUCUCCGGGGGUAGAGCACUGUUUCGGCUAGGGGGCCAUCCCGGCUUACCAACCCGAUGCAAACUGCGAAUACCGGAGAAUGUUAUCACGGGAGACACACGGCGGGUGCUAACGUCCGUCGUGAAGAGGGAAACAACCCAGACCGCCAGCUAAGGUCCCAAAGUCAUGGUUAAGUGGGAAACGAUGUGGGAAGGCCCAGACAGCCAGGAUGUUGGCUUAGAAGCAGCCAUCAUUUAAAGAAAGCGUAAUAGCUCACUGGUCGAGUCGGCCUGCGCGGAAGAUGUAACGGGGCUAAACCAUGCACCGAAGCUGCGGCAGCGAACGUAUCACCCAAGACAACUUUACGGAGUUGACGAUUGACGGAGCGAAGCGACGUCAAAGCGUUCAUUAAAGUCGAGUUGGCUUAGGGAUACGUUCGUUGGGUAGGGGAGCGUUCUGUAAGCCUGUGAAGGUGUGUCGUGAGGCAUGCUGGAGGUAUCAGAAGUGCGAAUGCUGACAUAAGUAACGAUAAAGCGGGUGAAAAGCCCGCUCGCCGGAAGACCAAGGGUUCCUGUCCAACGUUAAUCGGGGCAGGGUGAGUCGACCCCUAAGGCGAGGCCGAAAGGCGUAGUCGAUGGGAAACGGGUUAAUAUUCCCGUACUUGGUGUUACUGCGAAGGGGGGACGGAGAAGGCUAUGUUGGCCGGGCGACGGUUGUCCCGGUUUAAGCGUGUAGGUGUGUGUUCCAGGUAAAUCCGGUUCACUUUAACACUGAGGCGUGACGACGAGGCACUAC